AAAAAAAAACAUUUUUCCUUUGGUAAAUUUCUGUUAGGCCAAACACAGCUUUAAGGUUUUUAAAGAUUCAGCAUAGCCACUUGGGUUGGUCUCCAUGGCCAAGUCCAAAACUAGCACAAGCCUUGUGACUUGUCCGAAGGAAACGAAUGGGUGUAAAGAAAACUAAAUAGCCCAACCUUCUUUUUCUUUCAAAACAGAUUAAUUUCGCCCUUCACGUUUUAAGGAUCAAAACCAACAUUUUACAUGAACCGUACCCAUCACCUACAUCAUUUCCUGCUGCUCAAUGGAAGAAAAAAAAUUAUAUUUCAUUUGCAAAUCCUAGGAAGUCUCAUAAGAUUUAAAGCAAAGCAUGCUCCCUACAUCAUCAUCUUGACAAAUGGCAGAGAUGCAAGCAAGAACAUGCAAAAACCAACUUUACAGUGGAAAACUUGAACAGGAACAAAAAGAGAAGGAAAAACUAUAAACCUAUGGCAGCUGAGAGGGAGGUUUCUGGUUUGAAUGGAUAACUUGAGACCAGCUUGAUACCCUCGCUAAACUCACGAGACUGGAAAUAAUGUAUGUUUUCUGCUUUGUAAUGGCAACACUUUGUUUUUCUCCUUGUUACUAACACUGAACUUCUCUUUAGUCCCGACUAUACGUCUGAAGUGCCCUCCCCGUGAGUGAAGUUAAAUAUAUAUGGCGUGAAGUGUUUAGGGGGAGCUAACAAUGGAGGCUGUGGUGUGCACUGGGUUCAGUGAUCUGGAGUGGGUGAUGGAGGAUGUAAAGGUUUUCCAAAACUAGGAACUAGGGCUUGAAAUAAGUAACGACAGUGUGGUUAUCGGCCCUUGCUUUUUUGUGUCACAGCUUAAUUAUCCUCCCCACUUUGGUUAAUAUUUGGUGGGAGUUUUAUAGAACAAUAUUGCGAAAAAUCUAGAGGCCAUGAGCUGGGUGCUGCUGGGUGAUGUAAAAAAUAGACACAAGAGGUAGACAAGUUUUGAUGGCCCAAAAGUGCAUGAACAAGGAAUGUUGUGACAGCCAUAAAUAGGUGUAUGUACGGACUGUUUUGAUGGCCUAAAUGUGCAUGAACAAAGGUUGUUGUGACAGUCAUGAAUGAGUGUGUG
rnacentral:lncRNA from 1 species